UCCUGGCUCAGGAUGAACGCUAGCUACAGGCUUAACACAUGCAAGUCGAGGGGCAGCAUGGUCUUAGCUUGCUAAGAUUGAUGGCGACCGGCGCACGGGUGAGUAACGCGUAUCCAACCUUCCCUAUAGUAGGGGAUAGCCCGUAGAAAUGCGGAUUAAUACCCUAUGUUGUAUUUUGAGGACAUCUGACGAAUACCAAAGGUUCACCGCUAUAGGAUGGGGAUGCGUCUGAUUAGGUAGUCGGCGGGGUAACGGCCCACCGAGCCAACGAUCAGUAGGGGUUCUGAGAGGAAGGUCCCCCACAUUGGAACUGAGACACGGUCCAAACUCCUACGGGAGGCAGCAGUGAGGAAUAUUGGUCAAUGGGCGAGAGCCUGAACCAGCCAAGUAGCGUGCAGGAUGACGGCCCUAUGGGUUGUAAACUGCUUUUAUGCGGGGAUAAAGUGGGGGACGUGUCCCUUAUUGUAGGUACCGCAUGAAUAAGGACCGGCUAAUUCCGUGCCAGCCGCUGC
rnacentral:rRNA from 1 species